GGAUUAGGCAUGCAAGUCGGACGGGAUCCUUAGGGUUCAAGUUUUCGGACGAGAAUUCUUUGGUGAGAGUGGCGAACGGGUGAGUAACACGUGGGCAAUCUGCCCCGAAGUUGGGGAUAGCCCUCCGAAAGGAGGGAUAAUACCGAAUGUGGUCGCCUCGCGCAUGCGAGGUUGUCUAAAGGUGGGGAUCCGAAAGGACCUGCCGCUUCAGGAUGAGCCCGCGUCCCAUCAGCUUGUUGGUAGGGUAACGGCCUACCAAGGCUUACGGGUAGCUGGUCUGAGAGGAUGGUCAGCCACACUGGGACUGAGACACUGCCCAGACUCCUACGGGAGGCUGCAGUCGAGAAUCAUUCGCAAUGCACGGAAGUGUGACGAUGCGACGCCGCGUGCAGGAUGAAGGCCUUCGGGUUGUAAACUGUUGUCGUGGGGGAACAAUAGCGUGAGGGUGAAUAGCCUUUACGUUUGAUGGUACCCCAGGAGGAAGCCACGGCUAACUCUGUGCCAGCAGCCGCGGUAAUACAGAGGUGGCGAGCGUUGUUCGGAUUUACUGGGCGUAAAGGGUGCGUAGGCGGCGUCGUGUGUCGAAUGUGAAAUCCCACUUUUUAUUAGUGGAACUGCAUUCGAAACUACGGUGCUAGAGUACAGGAGAGGAGAGUGGAACUUCUGGG
rnacentral:rRNA from 1 species